rnacentral:rRNA from 1 species
UUGGAGGGCAAGUCUGGUGCCAGCAGCCGCGGUAAUUCCAGCUCCAAUAGCGUAUAUUAAAGUUGUUGCAGUUAAAAAGCUCGUAGUUGAAUUUCGGGAUCAAUAUGUUGGUCGUGCCUUGGUACGUACUAAUUUAUUGGUUUCUUCCUUCUGACGAACCAUGGUGUCAUUAAUUUGGUGUCUUGGGGAAUCAGGACUGUUACUUUGAAAAAAUUAGAGUGUUUAAAGCAGGCUCACGCUUGAAUACAUUAGCAUGGAAUAAUGAAAUAGGACGUUUGAUUCUAUUUUGUUGGUUUCUAGGAUCGACGUAAUGAUUAAUAGGGAUAGUUGGGGGCAUUAGUAUUCAAUUGUCAGAGGUGAAAUUCUUGGAUUUAUUGAAGACUAACUACUGCGAAAGCAUUUGCCAAGGAUGUUUUCAUUAAUCAAGAACGAAAGUUAGGGGAUCGAAGACGAUCAGAUACCGUCGUAGUCUUAACCAUAAACUAUGCCGACUAGGGAUCGGAUGAUGUUAAUUUUUUAAUGACUCAUUCGGCGCCUUACGGGAAAC